CCCCGCUCAGCUCCUGGGGCUCCUGCUGCUCUGGCUCCCAGGUGCCAAAUGUGACAUCCAGAUGACCCAGUCUCCUUCCACCCUGUCUGCAUCUGUAGGAGACAGAGUCACCAUCACUUGCCGGGCCAGUCAGAGUAUUAGUAGCUGGUUGGCCUGGUAUCAGCAGAAACCAGGGAAAGCCCCUAAGCUCCUGAUCUAUAAGGCGUCUAGUUUAGAAAGUGGGGUCCCAUCAAGGUUCAGCGGCAGUGGAUCUGGGACAGAAUUCACUCUCACCAUCAGCAGCCUGCAGCCUGAUGAUUUUGCAACUUAUUACUGCCAACAGUAUAAUAGUUAUUCUCCCCUCACUUUCGGCGGAGGGACCAAGGUGGAGAUCAAACG
rnacentral:lncRNA from 1 species